GAUGAACGCUGGCGGCGUGCCUAAUACAUGCAAGUCGAGCGAGCAGACGAGGAGCUUGCUCCUCUGACGUUAGCGGCGGACGGGUGAGUAACACGUGGAUAACCUACCUAUAAGACUGGGAUAACUUCGGGAAACCGGAGCUAAUACCGGAUAAUAUAUUGAACCGCAUGGUUCAAUAGUGAAAGACGGUUUUGCUGUCACUUAUAGAUGGAUCCGCGCCGCAUUAGCUAGUUGGUAAGGUAACGGCUUACCAAGGCGACGAUGCGUAGCCGACCAGAGAGGGUGAUCGGCCACACUGGAACUGAGACACGGUCCAGACUCCUACGGGAGGCAGCAGUAGGGAAUCUUCCGCAAUGGGCGAAAGCCUGACGGAGCAACGCCGCGUGAGUGAUGAAGGUCUUCGGAUCGUAAAACUCUGUUAUUAGGGAAGAACAAAUGUGUAAGUAACUAUGCACGUCUUGACGGUACCUAAUCAGAAAGCCACGGCUAACUACGUG
rnacentral:rRNA from 1 species